UGGGGAAUAUUGCACAAUGGGCGCAAGCCUGAUGCAGCCAUGCCGCGUGUAUGAAGAAGGCCUUCGGGUUGUAAAGUACUUUCAGCGAGGAGGAAGGCGAUAAGGUUAAUAACCUUGUCGAUUGACGUUACCCGCAGAAGAAGCACCGGCUAACUCCGUGCCAGCAGCCGCGGUAAUACGGAGGGUGCAAGCGUUAAUCGGAAUUACUGGGCGUAAAGCGCACGCAGGCGGUCUGUCAAGUCGGAUGUGAAAUCCCCGGGCUCAACCUGGGAACUGCAUUCGAAACUGGCAGGCUAGAGUCUUGUAGAGGGGGGUAGAAUUCCAGGUGUAGCGGUGAAAUGCGUAGAGAUCUGGAGGAAUACCGGUGGCGAAGGCGGCCCCCUGGACAAAGACUGACGCUCAGGUGCGAAAGCGUGGGGAGCAAACA
rnacentral:rRNA from 1 species